rnacentral:rRNA from 1 species
UUUGAUGGUGGCUCAGAUUGAACGCUGGCGGCAGGCCUAACACAUGCAAGUCGAGCGGUAACAGAAAAGAAGCUUGCUUCUUUUGCUGACGAGCGGCGGACGGGUGAGUAAUGCCUGGGAAUAUACCCUGAUGUGGGGGAUAACUAUUGGAAACGAUAGCUAAUACCGCAUAAUCUCUUCGGAGCAAAGAGGGGGACCUUCGGGCCUCUCGCGUCAGGAUUAGCCCAGGUGGGAUUAGCUAGUUGGUGGGGUAAUGGCUCACCAAGGCGACGAUCCCUAGCUGGUCUGAGAGGAUGAUCAGCCACACUGGAACUGAGACACGGUCCAGACUCCUACGGGAGGCAGCAGUGGGGAAUAUUGCACAAUGGGGGAAACCCUGAUGCAGCCAUGCCGCGUGUAUGAAGAAGGCCUUCGGGUUGUAAAGUACUUUCAGUUGUGAGGAAGGCGUUGGAGUUAAUAGC